rnacentral:rRNA from 1 species
CGGCAGCACGGGGGCAACCCUGGUGGCGAGUGGCGAACGGGUGAGUAAUAUAUCGGAACGUGCCCAGUCGUGGGGGAUAACGUAGCGAAAGUUACGCUAAUACCGCAUACGAUCUACGGAUGAAAGCGGGGGAUCGCAAGACCUCGCGCGAUUGGAGCGGCCGAUAUCAGAUUAGGUAGUUGGUGGGGUAAAGGCUCACCAAGCCAACGAUCUGUAGCUGGUCUGAGAGGACGACCAGCCACACUGGGACUGAGACACGGCCCAGACUCCUACGGGAGGCAGCAGUGGGGAAUUUUGGACAAUGGACGCAAGUCUGAUCCAGCCAUUCCGCGUGCAGGACGAAGGCCUUCGGGUUGUAAACUGCUUUUGUACGGAACGAAAAAGCUCUUACUAAUACUAGGAGUCCAUGACGGUACCGUAAGAAUAAGCACCGGCUAACUACGUGCCAGCAGCCGCGGUAAUACGUAGGGUGCGAGCGUUAAUCGGAAUUACUGGGCGU